rnacentral:rRNA from 1 species
UUCCCUACGGGGCGCAGCAGUGGGGGAUAUUGCACAAUGGGGGAAACCCUGAUGCAGCGACGCCGCGUGAGUGAAGAAGUAUUUCGGUACGUAAAGCUCUAUCAGCAGGGAAGAAUAAUGACGGCACCUGACUAAGAAGCCCCGGCUAACUACGUGCCAGCAGCCGCGGUAAUACGUAGGGGGCAAGCGUUAUCCGGAUUUACUGGGUGUAAAGGGAGCGGAGACGGCGAUGCAAGUCUGAAGUGAAAGGCGGGGGCCCAA